AAGGAACCUGCCUCAAGGAUUGGGAUAACUCCGAGAAAUCGGAGCUAAUACCGGAUAGUUCAACGGGCCGCAUGGUCCGCUGAUGAAAGGCGCUCCGGCGUCACCUUGAGAUGGCCUUGCGGUGCAUUAGCUAGUUGGUGGGGUAACGGCCCACCAAGGCGACGAUGCAUAGCCGACCUGAGAGGGUGAUCGGCCACACUGGGACUGAGACACGGCCCAGACUCCUACGGGAGGCAGCAGUAGGGAAUCUUCCACAAUGGACGAAAGUCUGAUGGAGCAACGCCGCGUGAGUGGUGAAGGUUUUCGGAUCGUAAAACUCUGUUGUAAGGGAAGAACACGUACGAGAGGGAAUGCUCGUACCUUGACGGUACCUUACGAGAAAGCCACGGCUAACUACGUGCCAGCAGCCGCGGUAAUACGUAGGUGGCAAGCGUUGUCCGGAAUUAUUGGGCGUAAAGCGCGCGCAGGCGGCCUUUUAAGUCUGAUGUGAAAGCCCCCGGCUCAACCGGGGAGGGCCAUUGGAAACUGGAAGGCUUGAGUACAGAAGAGAAGAGUGGAAUUCCACGU
rnacentral:rRNA from 1 species